rnacentral:rRNA from 1 species
CCUACGGGAGGCAGCAGUGGGGAAUAUUGGACAAUGGGCGCAAGCCUGAUCCAGCAAUGCCGCGUGAGUGAUGAAGGCCUUAGGGUCGUAAAGCUCUUUUACCAGGGAUGAUAAUGACAGUACCUGGAGAAUAAGCUCCGGCUAACUCCGUGCCAGCAGCCGCGGUAAUACGGAGGGAGCUAGCGUUGUUCGGAAUUACUGGGCGUAAAGCGUACGUAGGCGGUUAUUCAAGUCAGAGGUGAAAGCCCGGGGCUCAACCCCGGAACGGCCUUUGAAACUAGGUAGCUAGAAUCUUGGAGAGGUCAGUGGAAUUCCGAGUGUAGAGGUGAAAUUCGUAGAUAUUCGGAAGAACACCAGUGGCGAAGGCGACUGACUGGACAAGUAUUGACGCUGAGGUACGAAAGCGUGGGGAGCAAACAGGAUUAGAUACCCUGGUAGUCCACGCCGUAAACGAUGAUAACUAGCUGUUCGGGCACUUGGUGCUUGAGUGGCGCAGCUAACGCAUUAAGUUAUCCGCCUGGGGAGUACGGUCGCAAGAUUAAAACUANAGGAAUUGACGG